UACGUAGGGCGCAAGCGUUGUCCGGAUUUAUUGGGCGUAAAGCGCGUGUAGGCGGCUUGGCAAGUCCGCUGUGAAAACUCGAGGCUCAACCUCGAGAUGUCGGUGGAAACUGCUUGGCUAGAGUCCGGAAGAGGAGUGUGGAAUUCCUGGUGUAGCGGUGAAAUGCGCAGAUAUCAGGAAGAACACCUAUGGCGAAGGCAGCACUCUGGGACGGUACUGACGCUGAGAGCGAAAGCGUGGGGAGCGAACAGG
rnacentral:rRNA from 1 species